CUGCAUGGCUGUCGUCAGCUCGUGUCGUGAGAUGUUGGUUAAGUCCCGUAACGAGCGCAACCCUUGUCCUUAGUUACCAGCACGUUAUGGUGGGCGACUCUAAGGAGACUGCCGGUGACAAACCGGAGGAAGGUGGGGGAUGACGUCAAGUCAUCAUGGCCCUUACGGCCUGGGCUACACACGUGCUACAAUGGUCGGUACAAAGGGUUGCCAAGCCGCGAGGUGGAGCUAAUCCCAUAAAGCCAAUCUCAGUUCGGAUUGUAGGCUGCAACUCGCCUACAUGAAGUCGGAAUCGCUAGUAAUCGCGGAUCAGCACGCCGCGGUGAAUACGUUCCCGGGCCUU
rnacentral:rRNA from 1 species